GCCAUGUAAUCUUUUUUCACUAUUAUAUCAUAAAUCAUAAUUUAAAUAUUAUAUAUUGUAUAACAGGACAAAGAAUUAACUAAUUUUACGUUAUUAUAUUCAUAAAAAUUAUUGAAAUAUCUCAAGUGUAAUAUUGAUUAUUAAGAUAUUACAAAAUGAAAUUAGGAAAAAGACACUUCGAAAUCGCUACAAGAUGGAUUCCAUCUUUAAUGGUGUAUACAGGAGCUGCUGGUUUGACAGUGGUUUAUCUCACAGAUUGGAAAGUAAUAGCUAGAUAUAUACCCUUUUAUGGAGGCAAAUUCAAGGAUUAAUAUAUUCUUUAAUAAAAUAUAUUGGCAAAUAAUCAUAGAAAUUAAAACCAACAUACAAAUUAAUAAUAAUAGUAAUAAUAAUAAUAAUAACAAUAAAGUAUAAUAUAUAAUUA